UCCCUAGAAUGCUGUGCCUGUGAGUGGUC
rnacentral:piRNA from 1 species